rnacentral:rRNA from 1 species
UUUCGCAAUGCCCGAAAGGGUGACGAAGCGACGCCGCGUGCGGGAAGAAGGCCUUCGGGUUGUAAACCGCUGUCGGGAGUUAAGAAAUGCAAGGGUGUUAACAGCAUCCUUGCUUGCUAAGGCUCCGGAGGAAGCCACGGCUAACUCUGUGCCAGCAGCCGCGGUAAUACAGAGGCGGCAAGCGUUGUUCGGAAUUAUUGGGCGUAAAGAGCACGUAGGCGGCUGUGUAAGUCGGUUGUGAAAGCCUUCCGCUCAACGGGAGAACGGCAUCCGAUACUGCAUGGCUAGAGUGCGGGAGGGGGGAGUGGAACUUCUGGUGGAGCGGUGAAAUGCGUAGAUAUCAGAAGGAACACCGGCGGCGAAAGCGACUCUCUGGCCCGUAACUGACGCUGAGUGUGCGAAAGCUAGGGGAGCAAACGGGAUUAGAUACCCCGGUAGUCCUAGCCGUAAACGAUGGGCACUAAGUAGAGGGGUUUU